rnacentral:lncRNA from 1 species
UGAUUUUUGAUGUCUACAUCUCUUGCUUACAUUUUACUUUGGAGGUUGCAAGAUCAACAUAACCUGAGUUUGGAAAAUAUUUAACAAAAUUCAAAAGAGGAAAAAAAAUCACUUCUAUUAAAAUGUACCUGAAUAAGAGGUAUAGAAAGCACAGAUGUGGUAAUGUUGAAGGAAAGAAGGCACACAUGGGAGCUUAUGCUGUAUAAUUCCAUUUAUACAAUGUAUCAACACAGGUGCAAAAAGUACAAUUAGCUGCUACAUCUCUGAGAAGAAAGAAUUUUGCUGAUGAUCUAACAGAACUUGUGAGUCAUCCAUCAGGAGAUGUUUUAAUGGUGCCAAGAACUCAGUAAAGUCUGUGAUGGAUUUGGCAAGGUCAUUUGUCAUUUUCACAUCAGCAUGGUUUUGGCACCUGCUUCUCAGUAAAGAAUUGCACUGUUGGAAACUCACUUUUGACAAAGAUGGUCUGCUUCUGACCAAAUGGUUUAUGCUACAGCAGAGAAGUACAUUUUUUCAGAAAUUAUGGAUAACAUUCUCAUGGACUUAAUCAUCUUUCAUAUUAGUUCUCAAUACAAAAUGGCAUGCUUAACAGUUACAGUGAUUUCAUCCAGUUUUCUCUGGAACAAUUUGUGACUGAACUGGUGAAUAUGUUAUGCCCUAAGUAUCCGUCAUUUCUUCUUGUAGAUUUGAGUUAGCAUCUGAUAUCACUUCUUCCCAGCCUGAUGAUUUCUGUUAGAACUUUCUAUAAGGCUCUUCUGGAGAAGGAUGCUGAACCUUCAGAUAUCAGGCCAGCAUUCCCAAAAGAAAGAAGGAAGAAUGGUGAAAGGCAAAGGAUCAAAGAAAUAGCUGCAGUAUGGACAAAAUGCUGGAGUUGAGCAUCACUGGAAGGAAGACUCAGUUAAAAGAAAAAAAGAAAUCAUUGUUACAUUUAAGAAGAUGGACAUGGCAUGAUUUGAUACAGAUUGGCAUGAUGUAAGUUUAUGCAUGUGGCAGGACGGCUGUCUCAAUUUGUACUUGUAUUUGUGCAGACAUACUUGUAGGACAAGAGAAAAGAGAGCCAAUAGAUCAUUUAGCACUUGCUGGAAGAGAGUAAUUUACUAAUCCAUCAUUUCAUGGGGCUCAUGGAGUAUCAGAACAAAAGCCAAAUUUUGGCUGAAUGUACCUAGCUGUAUACUGCAAAGAAAUAUCAUUUUUUUUAUUACUUUGACAGAAGCCAGUCCAAAUAGCACACAGAAAAGAGCAAAUUGCUGUCUACAUUUGACUGUGUCCUGGAAGAGUAACUGAGUGCAAUAUCUUCUGAGAAAUAUAA